GUGGAUCACAUUUAGAUGAUGUUUAUGACUAAUUUCAAUCACAUUAAUUAAUAAAAUUGUUGAAUGGUGUUAUCUUCAACAAGGAUUAAAUUAUCAGUCUAAACAUGAGCUCCAAUAGUGAUACCGGCGAUAAUCAAACUUCAUCGAUAAUUACCAAUUAUUCUUCAUCUUGGGAAGUAGAAACUGAAGUGAGGUGGCUGUUCAGUCAACUUUUGCUGUAAAUUCCUCUCCGUCAACUUUAAAUGAAGAUCAAGGUAGCACCUUACCUCCUUCCUCGCCUGAAUCCCUUUUGUCAAUACCACAUUCACCAUCAGUAACACGAAGUAGUAAUAAUUUUA